rfam:Chrysochromulina sp. CCMP291 CAF.Contig9290, whole genome shotgun sequence.
GCAUCUGUAGCCCAGUGGCCGAAGGCAUCGGACUCAUAAUCCGCUUCUCACAGAGACAACGCUGGUUCGAAUCCAGCCAGAUGCA